rnacentral:rRNA from 1 species
AGAACGAACGCUGGCGGCAUGCCUAACACAUGCAAGUCGAACGAGACCUUCGGGUCUAGUGGCGCACGGGUGCGUAACGCGUGGGAAUCUGCCCAAAGGUUCGGAAUAACUCAGGGAAACUUGAGCUAAAUACCGGAUGAUGUCGCAAGACCAAAGAUUUAUUGCCUUUGGAUGAGCCCGCGUAGGAUUAGCUUGUUGGUGAGGUAAAGGCUCACCAAGGCUACGAUCCUUAGCUGGUCUGAGAGGAUGAUCAGCCACACUGGGACUGAGACACGGCCCAGACUCCUACGGGAGGCAGCAGUGGGGAAUAUUGCACAAUGGGCGCAAGCCUGAUGCAGCGACGCCGCGUGAGGGAUGACGGCCUUCGGUUGUAAACCUCUUUCAGUAUCGACGAAGCGCAAGUGACGGUAGGUACAGAAGAAGGACCGGCAACUACGCGCCAGCAGCCGC